AUAGUGUAUAUGUGACGCUCUAUUGUUUGUGAUUCACCUCUUGAACUGACUGAUUGUUUUUCCAUGUUCUGAACUGCUUGGAUAAUUUCUUGAAUAUCUGCUAUCCUUGACUCUGUGUGGGAUUCUGUCCAUUUCCUUUCAUUGUCUAGAUUUCUUGAGAACUGUGAAACUCUGUGUCUGUCCUUGUGAGUCUUAGUUUUCUGCAUGUUGAGUCUGUCACCUCCCUGAUGUCCUCUAAGUUGUUCCCUGAUUUGCAUCUUGAUUUUGUCUAGGAGUGCAAAAGACUAAGUGUGGUCUAUUUUGAUGAUUUGAUAUUUUCUUGACUGUAUUUAGUUUAUUGCACUUAAAUAAAUCAGGGAAUUGUGUUUAAUUGUCCAUUAUUUCCCCGUG
rnacentral:lncRNA from 1 species